CGUUCAAGGUUCUAGAGGCGUAUGCGAUAGGGAGAUCCUUUCCUACUAGUCCCUGGCUCAAGAUGGCACCUACCACAAUGUCGGAGGCGUCGGUGGUAACAAAAAAUGGUUGUGAAAAGUUGGGAAAUUGCAGCAGGGGUUCUGAACAAAUAGCGUCUCUUAAAAUUUCGGAAGAAGUUUGGACAUCCGAGGUCCAACGAAAAGGUAAUUCGUCAAUUGUGUAAAUGGCAUGAUGGGGAACAUUACCUGCCUUUAAUCUAUCACUAGGUGACCUAAUUCAAGAAACCUAAGAAUUUCACUGAGCCUUCGAGCGUGGUCCUCCGAUUUGUCCGCGGCCGGAUUUCCUGUACGAGAAGAACGGGGUGCAGGAGGUCGCGAAUCAAAUUCCUCUAGAUCGACAGGGGGAAUUGUAAUAGUAACGUGGUCGCAAGUUGUAUUAAUUGCAUAUAGUUUGAUCAGGCCAUUUUGUUGGCUGGCCAGAAUAUCACCUACGAAAAUGCCAGAUCCGGCAUCAAUCCGUUUAACGUAGUUCCACUCAUUAUUGUUCCCAGCGGGGACCGAGAUCAAAACUUUGGUUCGCGGGGGUAAGACGUGUGAUGAAAAGGUGGACGCAAACAAAUUCUUUUUUUCAAAAGACAGAAUACAUGGAAAAUUCUCUUUAA